rnacentral:lncRNA from 1 species
CUCCCCCUCCUCCUCACUACUCCUCCCUACGGCCUUCUUUCCUCACCAACUCCUCUUCCUGUUCUAACCUCCUGUAACUGUCCAAGAUUCCGUGGAGCACUCUCGGUUCUCACAGGCUCGGUGUGGAAGAGACGAAGGAGCUGGAGCACGGGCGAAUUGAGGCUUGGAGUUGAGAGCUGAAACCUGAAACACCUGUCUAGCUCCAGCACCUGUCAGAAGAAUGGUUGGUUGGACAGACCUGGUCUUCAGUUUCCCCAUCUGUGGAACGGUGACAACAGAGGACACAGGGUGGUCUGAUAGGUCAGAGGUCACACAGAGACUACUUAACAGUGUCUGAGACAUGGAACUGCCUGGCAGUCAUUCAAGAUUAGUUCCCUUGGUCUUGGCUUUGCUCGAAAGGUCUCUGAUCCACGUGUCUUACUUCAUCUACCUUCUAGAUCUGUACACAGAUGCCGGGCAUCCCUUCCCAGCUAAGCACCUGACAGAGCAUCUGUGGUGGUUAAUGCCGACUGUGAGCUUGACAGGAUCCAGAAUCACUGGGAGAUAAGCAUCGGGCUGUGCUUGGAGGGAAGCUUCUGGAUUACGUCACCGGAGGUGGGGAGACUCCGUCCCACAUAAGCUAGGAUGGGUUUCCCACUGUAUUCCAAGAGUCUAGGGCAGAGAGCUGUACCCAGGGAGCUGCUGGGCUUGGGGGAUCAGGUGCACAGCAGCCCUCUGCUGCCGAACAGGCACACUGGACGUGCUGCCUCAAACCGACACGGUCGUCUGACAUGAUUGAAUGUGAGCCCCAGAGACUGGAACACACAAGGCACCCGCUGCCUUGGCUCUCCUAGCAGGAACCCUCCUUCCAUAGCGCUCAACAGCAGAAGCUGCCCAGUAAGAUGUCAGCCGCCAUCUUUGCAGGAGACCAGAGAAAUCCAAGGGUCAGAAGCCCAAAGUAGGUACUGAGAAUCAGCCGGAGACCAGAGGUUUUUUUUUUGCAAGAAUUCUGAAAGUUUCAGACAAUGGAAUGAAUUAAGAAAUGACGACAAAUUCAGUAAGUAAAAAAUACUGCUUACAUAGCGGGUCACUGACUUUUCUAUCGCUAUAACACCAUGAAGAUCACAUUGAACAGGGUUUCUGGUUUCAGGGUCUGAUACCACAAUGGCAGAACAAAGGCAUGGCGACAGGAACAACUGAGAGCUCACAUCUUGAUCCACAAGAAGGAGGCAGAGACACUGAGAAUGGCACUGAUAUCUGGAACCUCAAAGCCAGUGACACACCUCCUCCAACAAGACCACACCUCCUAAUCCUUCCCAAACAGUUCCACCAACUGGGGACCAAGAAUUCAGCUAUGUGAGCCUGUGUCGGGUAUCAUCGAACCACCUUAAAUAGCCACCCUGCUAGAGUCACAGAAAGUCUAAGAAGAGGGUGAAUUGGAAUCUGAGCAUCUUGGCUGCAGGAUCUGAGUGUUGAUGACUUAGGAGACGAUGCCACUCCGGGGCCUGUUACCUCUUCGUGCAUUAGGAAGAGGAAGGUCAUUGCUAUUUGCAGGCCCUCGUUGAGCACCGGAUGAAGCUGAGG